CCCUUAGAUGUUCUGGGCCGCACGCGCGCUACACUGAGCCCUUCAUCGAGUUUACAACCUUGGCCGGUAGGUCUGGGUAAUCUUCUCAAAGGGGCUCGUGCUGGGGAUAGAUUAUUGUAAUUUUUAAUCUUCAACGAGGAAUUCCUAGUAAACGCAAGUCAACAGCUUGCAUUGAUUACGUCCCUGCCCUUUGUACACACCGCCCGUCGCUACUACCGAUUGAAUGGCUUAGUGAGCCCGAGGGACUGUUGCACCUAGAGGGUUUUCUCUCCAGGAGCAGCCGGGAACUCGGUCAAACAUGAUCAUUUAGAGGAAGUAAAAGUCGUAACA
rnacentral:rRNA from 1 species